CAACCAUUUUGCGAAAAUUUACUGAAGAGAUACACAAUUUGAUGAAUGAAACGCCGACUGAAAAUGCUUAAGCUCUCUUUUGAAGAGAUCUUGAAAAAUAAAUGCCAAUUUUUACCUGAAAAUCCGAACAGAAGACAGAAAAUAUCUGUUUAAGAAGGUCAUGUUUUAUUUCAAAAUCGACAGCUACUACACGCAAGCAGUAUUUUGUCUAAAAUUACGACCAAAACUCACCUAAAUAAAACAUCUACUUCCUGCAAGCAAUCAAUUUGUAAAUAAAUUUGAUGAAAAGGCCUGUUAGUGCCAAUCAUUUCAGAUAAUUUUUAUUUUCUCUUUUUGAUACAGUCAUCAUCAUUUUAUUAUUUAUCAGACAUAAACAUAUGCAUUUACGACAAAGAUCCAUAAUAUCAUUACAAGGGCAAUACACAUAAAAGUCAGAUGUGUCAGUUUUACUUUUAGAAACGGUUGCUGUCACAAAGUAAUUGACAGAAUAAAAUGUGAAUUUCAGCAUUUUAUUUACAAAAAAAAAUGUGUUUGUGCGUACUAAUGUGAUCAGGCAUAAGCACAUGGCCUUAUAGAGUACAUAAUUUUCGGCGCUUAACGUAAAAACAGUUAAAGGAUAGGAUUCACAGACGUUAAAUUUAUGCUUAAAUCUACAUGCGAUAGAUUACGCAUAUUAAUAUAUUUCACGAUAGUAUUGCAAAAGGAAGUAAGUGGAUUAAAUUUGGACUAUUUCCUUCGGGUGUUUACAUGACUGUGCUGUCAAAAGGCCUCCACGUUUGUUAACAUAUUUUGACAGAUCGAGUUGCUCUGGUAGGAUCGACGGUAAGUGCAAGUUUAUAUAUGAAUUAAUUAUUUCGAGCUAAUUCAAAACAAGGUUGAUAAUCAGUCGUCUGUAUGUCAAGACUUGGAAACGAUUUGCCCAGUCAUAACCUUUUAAACGUACACAUGCAUGUCCUGGGUGGAGAUCAUAUGCGUGUAUCGAGUUUAAAUAUCAUCAGAUGCAGAAUUGACGCCUUGUUUCAUAGAUAGUAAUCGAUCAGAAUGGAUCAUUGUCAUAGCAAAACAACCUGGUCAGCAAUGAAAGAAAAAGCCAUUAUGAUUACUUAUGUCAGAUUUGUCAAGAUUCCAUAGAAAUUCGUAAGGUAAUGUUAAUUUACUUCUACUCAUAGUUUUUUUUUAUACUGUACAUAUUUCAGAUGAAGAUGUAAAUUGAUCCAAGAAAAUAACGGGACGAUGAAUGCUGUAAUUACCAAGAAGAAGACUUACUUUGCCAUAUGUAUACAUCAAUUGUAUAAAGUUACAGAAUAAUAUUGUGAGCUUUGGCUAGGCCUUAGACAGUCGACCUCAAAAAGAUGCUCAUCCAAAGUGUUUGAAGUAUUGGUCAACAAAAACUGAACUGUUUGAUGGAUCAUACAGCAUGUACAAUAAUAUUUCCAGACACAAAUUAAGAGAAUCAGAGAAAAAUAAGUAUCAAGGAUUAGGGAGAAAGAAAAAUAUGCAUCAUGCAUGAAGAACCUGCCUUAGAUUAAUUUGCAAAAUACAUUGAAAUCUCACAAUUGUUAAUGGCAUAAUGUGUAUGGAGGUUAAUAAAGGUGUACUUUUUUAGAAAAUAUGUGUCCAGUCAAUACUGCAACAACAAAAUAUUUGUUUUCAAUUUUCUGAGCAUAAUUGUACACAACAAUUGUAACAUGGCUACAUAGAUUAUACAAAAUGUGUAAUCAUAUUUCCAGACACAAAUUGGGAGAAUCAGAGAAGAAAUACGGAGAAUAAGGGAAAAGGAAAUAUUUGUCAUGCAUGAAGAACCUGCUUUAGAUUAAUUUGCAAAAUACUUUGAAACCUCACAGUUGUUAAUGUCAUUAUGCAUAUGGAAGUUUAGAAACGUGCAUUUUGAUCAAUCACCCGGCACAAAUAUCAGUCUGUUUGUGCCCGACCAAAAAUUGUAUAUAAACUAAGAAAUAUAAGUAUCGUAUAUUGGAAAGUUUGUAACACUCUGUAUCUGUGUAGCUUGUUCCAUAUGUACGUUUAUUGUUUUUUUACUUAUUUAUUUAUUUGGGUUUUACGGCGCACCAACAAAGUAUAGGUUAUAUGGCGCCAAACAGGACUACAAAUUUUGGUUCCAUAUCUCAUUUACAUCGAAGUAAAAACAUGAGGUACGUUUAUUGGGUAUAAGUCUUUCGUACAUGUUUUAUAGAACACUUUACAUUAUGCUUUCAAUAUAAAUGUGCUAUAUUGCUUUUAUCAUGUACUUUCGAUUUGAAGUAAAUUUUGUGGUGGUAGGUGAGAUUCAAAUAAUGCUUUUCUCAUUGUCAGUAACUUUUCCGUGAUUGACUGGAUUUUCAAACUAUUUGGCACGGUCAUUGAAACUUAUCAUUCGAUGUGAUACAUGCUAGAUUCAAAUGAUAGUCAGCUCGAAGGUCAAAAAAGAAGUCAAAAAUACAACUUUUUCUAUCUGUAACUUUUUAUGAAUGUAUUGUAGCUCACAUUACGUGGUAUAGAUAUUUAUCAUAACAAGAUGACAGGUAAAAUAAAUACUCGGACUUCUAGCUCAAAGAUUAGUGUUACUUAUAGAAGAUCCCUUUACACUAGGUUAAUGAAACCAGGUUACUACUUCGUGAAAACUUUUAAAGCUGAUAUAUAAUGAACUGCUUUUAUGUCCCCGGCGCCGAAGAACUUAACCCAUACAGUUGCUAUCAAAUACAUAUAAAACUCUGCUUACAUCAUCAACAUGAAGAGGAUAUGAGCAUUGUAUCGGGACGUUGUUGCCCUUUUUACCCUCGAAAUAAUUCAUCACAUUGUGAAGUCCUACAGUUUCCAUCCAACUGAAUUGAAACUUUGUAUACAUCAACAACAUGAAGUAGACAUAUGCAUGUUGUCCAGAAUUUUAUGGUCGAUUAUUUUGUCUGGGAGUUGUGACCCUUCUUUAACGACUAUGACAUCUGCAUUGUAGUUUCCUACAUUUCUCUUCAUUUCAAAUAAAACUUGUUAAGCAUAAUGAACAUCAAGUAGACAUGCGCAUCUGUUUUGUGUUCAGUUGUUUUAGAUUUAUCUUUAUUUUUACUUAAUAACAUCAUUGAGACGUCGGUAUACUACAUUACUGAAUGGAGAAUUUUCAGGGACGUGUGUCGUACACUGAGACUGUCGACACCAUUCUAUUUCGCUUUGCAACCUCCGCAAAGGAAUAUUGUCAAACUGUGCUGCUGAUAUGGGGAAGUAACACUGUGUUGGAGUUUGGUUCCUUUUGUGCCACAACUUUCUAUGUAUAAUCGUGUAUUGAUAAUAUAUACUUUUAUUUGUGUGGACAUGCAUGGAUUUGUUGAACUGCAAAAUAAAACAUUAUGAAUUACUUAACGUUGUUGUCCCUUUCAUCUUUUUUAUCGUUAAUAGCAGUCAUUCACCGAAGAUGCUGUAUACUAACACUUUUUGUUUGUG
rnacentral:lncRNA from 1 species